GAUUGAACUGAAGAGUUUGAUCCUGGCUCAGAUUGAACGCUGGCGGCAUGCCUUACACAUGCAAGUCGAACGGCAGCGGACCUUCGGGUGCCGGCGAGUGGCGAACGGGUGAGUAAAGUAUCGGAACGUACCUUUCAGUGGGGGAUAACGUAGCGAAAGUUACGCUAAUACCGCAUAUUCUGUGAGCAGGAAAGCAGGGGAUCGCAAGACCUUGCGCUGAUUGAGCGGCCGAUAUCAGAUUAGCUAGUUGGUGAGGUAAAGGCUCACCAAGGCGACGAUCUGUAGCGGGUCUGAGAGGAUGAUCCGCCACACUGGAACUGAGACACGGUCCAGACUCCUACGGGAGGCAGCAGUGGGGAAUUUUGGACAAUGGGGGCAACCCUGAUCCAGCCAUGCCGCGUGAGUGAAGAAGGCCUUCGGGUUGUAAAGCUCUUUCGGCCGGGAAGAAAUCGCGCCAGUUAAUACCUGGUGUGGAUGACGGUACCGGAAUAAGAAGCACCGGCUAACUACGUGCCAGCAGCCGCGGUAAUACGUAGGG
rnacentral:rRNA from 1 species